rnacentral:rRNA from 1 species
UCGAGAAUCUUCCACAAUGGACGAAAGUCUGAUGGAGCGACGCCGCGUGAUUGAUGAAGUCCCUUUGGGACGUAAAGAUCUUUUAUGAGGGAAGAAGUUUAUUGACUGUACCUCAUGAAUAAGAGGCUCCUAAUCUCGUGCCAGCAGGAGCGGUAAUACGAGAGCCUCGAGCGUUAUCCGGAAUUAUUGGGCGUAAAGGGUGCGUAGGUUGUUCUGUUAGUCUUUUGUUAAAUCCCCGAGCUUAACUUGGGAGUCGCGAAGGAAACGGCAGAACUUGAAAGUGUGAGAGGUGUACAGAACUUAUGGUGUAGGGGUGAAAUCCGUUGAUAUCAUAGGGAAUACCAAAUGCGAAGGCAGUACACUGGCACAUAUUUGACACUGAAGCACGAAAGCGUGGGUAGCGAAUGGG